AACGAACGCUGGCGGCAUGCCUAACACAUGCAUGUCGAACGAAGGCUUCGGCCUUAGUGGCGCACGGGUGAGUAACGCGUAGGAAACUGCCUAUUGGUGGGGAAUACCGAAGGGAAACUGUCGCUAAUACCGCAUAAGCCCUUCGGGGGAAAGAUUUGUCGCUGAUAGAUGUGCCCGCGUCCGAUUAGGCAGUCGGUGGGGUAAUGGCUCACCAAGGCGACGACCGGUAGCUGGUCCGAGAGGAUGAUCAGCCACACUGGGACUGAGACACGGCCCAGACUCCUACGGGAGGCAGCAGUAGGGAAUAUUGGACAAUGGGCGAAAGCCUGAUCGAGCAAUGCCGCGUGAGUGAUGAAGGCCUUAGGGUUGUAAAGCUCUUUCGUGUGGGACGAUGAUGACGGUACCACCAGAAGAAGGCCCGGCUAACUUCGUGCCAGCCGCCGCGGUAA
rnacentral:rRNA from 1 species